ACGUAGGUGGCAAGCGUUAUCCGGAUUUACUGGGUGUAAAGGGCGAGUAGGCGGGAUUGCAAGUCAGAUGUGAAAACUGUGGGCUCAACCCAUAGACUGCAUUUGAAACUGUAGUUCUUGAGUGAUGGAGAGGCAGGCGGAAUUCCCGGUGUAGCGGUGGAAUGCGUAGAUAUCGGGAGGAACACCAGUGGCGAAGGCGGCCUGCUGGACAUUAACUGACGCUGAGGCGCGAAAGCGUGGGGAGCAAACAG
rnacentral:rRNA from 1 species